rnacentral:misc_RNA from 1 species
AUAAAAAUGAAUCAAAAUAGCAAUGAUAUUUAGCACUCUUUAAUUAAUUAUUUUGAGAGAUAAGCUGCAUAAAAUCCAUAAAGAUAUAGAUAUCAAGAUGCCUAAGCUAAAUCCCAUUAAAUUUUCCUAUGAAAACUUUCGUCCACCAACUGAAGAUUGGCCAGAAACCACUCUGAUUGGCAUGGCAAUAAAUAACUCUCUUUCUGGGCAUAUGGCAAUGGGAGGUUUGAAUUCUAUGAAUAGAUGCAAUUCACACAGAUUAGAAUGUUAUAUAAAAGAUUUUAUUUGUCAGAACUAGAAAAUUUUCCUUUUUGUUAUAUCACCCUAUCCAUUGCCAUGGGUGUACACAGGUUUGGUUUCCAUAGGAAAAAUGGGAUUGCUUCUUGGGGAGAAAUGAGAAAUGUUCAAUCUUUUGUAUACAGGAGAGCGAAUUCUUUAAUCCUUUGCUUAAGGUUCUUCAGUUCUUCAUGAAGCACAAUGAAUAUCUUUCUCAACCGUUUGUGUCUCUGCGAGUCAUCGUCCAAUCAGAAUACUCAAGAAUAGAAAAUUCAAAAAGCUAUUAAAUAAUAUAAAAUGCAAGCUAUAUUACUGAAACAAAAUUCGCCAAACCCCUAAGAGUAUUAUUUGUGCCUCAAUCAAUCCGAUGAUCUCACAAGAAGUUGCUUACUAGUUAACUGUCUCAUAGUCACUAUACAAUGAUCUCACUAGAGAAGAAGUUGUGAGUGUAGUUUUUGGGGCAUGUGAGUCACAGAUUAGUCAAUUCAUCCUCAUCCUCACAACAAGAAACAGCUGCCUAAGGUUUACUCUUGCCAAUAACACAGUGCAAUCAUUUCCAACUUUAUCAACCCACUCCUACUCCUAAAUGAUCUUAUCCUCAAAACAAACACCUACUUUUGACACUUAAUGCCUGUCACUUCUUUAUUAUAAUAAGAAACAACUGAUGUAAAAUGUUUUCUGGCUUCCAAUCUAAACAAGCGUUGAACAAAAUGCUAAAAUGAGUUGGACACCCAAGACUUCAACAUUGUCUAGAAAGUUGAAUGUGAAGAAACAACAAAUUAUCACAAAAUUCACUGCAUGCUCCAAUAAGGGUUACAGGUUCAAUAGCAUGAUCUAAUCCAACCGGCCCAAUCCAACCCCUCGUCUUUUUUACCUUCCUUUGUGGAACAUGAGGAAAACAUAGUUGCAAGCUGUGUACUGCAAGUUCAGCCUAUAAACCACCUAAAACAAGUUUGAAUCUAACCUUCAUCACUAGCUUCAAUGAUACAUCCAUAAAGCACACAUAACAGACAAAGGCACCAUUUAAUCCCUAAUUUAUACUGCCCAGUAAAUUAAAUUUGUUUAUCCAAAUUAAAUCUGGCCAACAGAUUUCUAACACACGCUAGUGGAUUUGAUUAUUUAAAGAUAAAUGCAUAGAAUGAAAUGAAUCAUAAUGGAUACCGCUCCACAAUGACGAUAAGAUUCCCUCAACUGCAGCAAGAUCUUAUGAUAUCUGUCCAUAUCCCUGCCUUUUGCAAAUUCAAGGUCCUUUCCUAUUUUCUGGAAAUCAUUCCUGUACUUUUCUAGGCUCUUGUUCAAGGAGCAGUAACAAUCAUACUUAUCACGGUAUUCCUGCACAUACUCUUUGUACUGAAGAAAAUCCUUAAUAGAUCUCCUGAGCUCUGGCUCAUCCUUUUCAUACUUGGAAUAAGAAGUGGUGUCUUCCUCAGAAGAAGAUUCUCUCCUCUUUUGAGCAUUAUUGUUGACCUCUGUUAAAAUUGGAUCCUUUUGUCCCACUACCAAGUCAGCCAUCACAUUAGAUGUCUGUGUUUUACUUUCCUUUAUCAAGUGGGAAAGCUGCCCACGUUUAGAAUCAUGCAGCUGCUGUGCAUUGGCAGGGGCUCCUUUAUGGCUUUCUCCAUAGCCUUCCAUACUAUUUCCUAGUUUUGCAACAGCUUCAUUCUGUCUUAAUCUGCUAUUUGUAUCUGCCAACUUGCCAAAAUGUGAUACUUCACUGUUAUCUACCCUUGAAAGGUGUUGUGGAUGAGACUGUGGAAACUUAUGGUUUGAUCUCAUUAAAUCUUCAAUAGGAUGAUCAGGGCUCUCCUUAAACCCACUACCUAGAUUGGGUGGAGAAGGUUUUCCUGAGUCCAAUGCUGUCUUUACAACAGGUUUUGUCUUACUUAAAUCAGAAUUACAGUUGUCUGAAGUGCUUUGUUUGUUCUCUGACUGUUUAAAAGAACUCUUCCUUCCAAAUUGUUUUUUAACAGGUGUUUCUUCAAGCAAUGACUCACGAAAUUCUCCUAACUCCAAUUCUGAAAGCUCUCUUUGGAGGGUUCUCUCACUGACGGCUGGAAACUUUUCCAUAUCAACUCUAUUUCCAUCCUUUGGUGAAGACCCCAUGUGUGAGUUCGUAAUUUGUGUAGCCUCCUUGAAUUUCCCAAAUGUUUCACCAUGUUUUCUAUAAUGAGAAUCAAAGGGAGCUGAGUGUCUGCCUCCAGCUCCACCUUCCUUGGGGUUUCUUGGCGCCUUUUUCUCCUUCGUAAAAUUAUCCUCAUUUUGGGCGUCUCUAGAAGCCUUUUCUCUUUGAAUGGGAUAACCUUCAUGCACAUGAGAACUCUUUUCAGAGAAUUUACGACCAUGUCCUGAGCUCUCAGAGUGUUUGGAUCUCCUUGUAUCAGAAGCCUUUGACCUAGCAUUUUUUCCAGAAGACCUUUGUCCCAGUUGCUGAAAAUCUGAACUAGGUUUUCCAGCAAAUGCCUGGUUGUAAGCCUUUUGUGAUCCAAAAUCAGUAUUUCCUUCCCUAUCAAUUCUAUUAAUUGUUUGAACAGCAGGGCCCCUGUAAGUUUCUUCAAUGUCUCUAUUGUGAGGACUCUCAGAUAACUGGGCAUCCCUAACCUCAGAAAUUGGUGCUUGAGCUAAGCUUUCUAUUUUCAAUCUUUUAGCAUGUUCAGAUUUCUCAUCAAAGUGCUUAAUAUCAGGACCCCUUUUGGAUUUACUUUUGGGCUCAGAGCUGUCAGAUUGUUCAUGCCUGAAGCUGUCCCUAACCAUAUUUUCAUUAUCAUCAAAUAGUGUUCCUAUGAAGGUUUUGCGCUCUUGAAUGGCAUCAUGAUCAGAGAAACUAAAUUUAUAUCCUUCCACAACUUUGUUGCCUUCUUUGCUGGGAACCAAACUAUCGUUUGCAGCCAAUUCAACUUCCUUCUCAUUAUCAGCCAAAUCAUUCUCAAUGUCAACAGCAUCUGACUCAUGACCUUCAACAUCAUGGGCAGCAGAGCCAGGACCAUCAAUGUCAACUGCAUCAGAUCCAUCGCCAUCUUGCUUCUCACCUGUCCCAUUCUGCCCAGACCUCCAUUGAACUGGUGAUACCGAGAAUGUUGGUUCAGAUGCAUGUAGUUUAUGUUGGGGUUCUUUGUCAUCGUCACUUAUGAUAUCCACAUCCUCAUCAGAGCCCUCUUUACUGUUGGAUGAAGCAUCACUUUCACUAUCACUACUACUCCCACUUCCACUUCCUACUGGGCUUCUACUUCUGCUUCUACUGCAACUUCCACUGUCACUACCACUGUCACUGCUGUCACUAUCACUAUCACUAUCACUGUCGCUUCCACUAUCACUAGAGCUGCCUGCCUGCCCCUCACUAUUGUCAGAAGCUUUCUUCUCACCAAACAAAUCAGGUGAAUGCUGUUGGAUAUCAAUUUUUUCUAUAGUUGACUCUUCUUCAAAUUUAGAGUUUGAUUGUGCAUGUUCCUCAAAUCCAACAGCAGGGCUUUUCUCAACAAAUCGUGAUUCUGGAGGAGGUCUAUGAUUAUGGUUGUCUUCAGGAACAAGUGCCUGCUGACGGCUGUCUUCAGGAGAACUUCCAUUUUCAGAUGAAGGUUUCCUGAAGCUUUCCAACUCCACACCUGAUUUCAAGAAAUAUCUUCCCGGAGCUUGGAAAGUUGCAAUCUGAUGCUCAUGAUUAAAUUAAACAAAAUAGGAUCAUACACUAUUCCAAGACUAAUGGUAGCUAGGAGUUGGGUCACAUACUCUUUUAAUAAUGGGUUCUAUCUUCUUAGCAGAGUUUGGAAUUUUAUCCCCAAUAACUUUCUCCAAGGCCUAGGAUCCAAGACAUCGAAUAUCGAAGGAGCCCAGAGAAAAGAGUCAUGUUAGUAGAGAGGGGGGAAAAAAAGAACAAUGGGAAAAAAAUAAAUAAAUAAGCAGGCAGCAUAAAAUAAUGAAACAAAUAUUCAAAAUUUUAACUAUUUCCAUCACAUGCCUUCAAGCUCAUCCCUUUAGGAUUCCCACUCAGUAGAGUAAUUAACAUGCUCUGUAAAUCCAUUGGUUUGGUCCCAAAGUUCCCUUUAUGUCCUGUUGUUUCCCAUGCAGCACUAGAAGCCUUAGUCUGGAAUUCUUUCUCAGUAUUAGUGGCAUUCUCUUUACUUUUAGACUGUGUCAGUGUCACCUCUUCUGUGUUCACCUUAGCAACAUUUCCAGUUCCAAAUGGAGAUGCUGGAGUGCCAGAUUGCUCAGGUGUAGAUGGCAGAGGUGAAGAUGAGUGUCUGCCCUUUGCACUAGUAGUUGAAGAAACUCCAGGUUUAAAGGUAGAUUUGGGGACUGCAAAUGCUGAAGGUUAUGUACAUUCUAACACACUAAUAAAGGGGGGAAAAAGCAAUUGUAUACCAAUCUUAGAUUUCUGAAUUUAUCCACAGAGAUUGUAUGCAAAAAUAAGAUACAUAUUUCAAUAAAAAGGAACUCACGAAGUGUACCUAGCGGUGGUUCAACUUUCUGUUUUUUAAAUGGAAGCUCUUUCUUUUUAAAAGGGCAUCCUCCAUGGAUUAGCCUCAGCAGCUGCCAAUUGCUUUAUUUGACUCUUCAUGGAGGGGUUCCCAUGAUCUAACACAAUAGCUCUGUAAUCAGGAAAAGGAGCAGGGAAAACUUAAAUAGUUCAAGCAAAAAACACAUCAAACAGCUUAUGUGUCAGUUUCAACAACAAAGCCACCACACAAAUUGUUCAAAUUCAAUUACUCCGUUUGCUUAAGUUUGGAAAUUAAUCAAAGAUCAGUAUGGAAAAUGGACAGGGAGAACCAGAAAAGAACUCAAAACUUUAAAGGAAAAUCCAGUGAAGGAACUAAAUCAAAAGGAUUUGUCCAUGUGAAGCCCACACUGCAAGAAUGAUUAUUCUUGAUCAUCUGCAGUUUAACCCAUAAACAUAAUAAAACCAAAUAGUUCAAGAAUACUAUUAUGGAAUGCCAAUGCAAACUAUUGAAGGAUAAAGCAUAUGCGGCAAGAACUUGCCAAAAAUAUCUUGCUUCAACUACCUGGUGUGGCAAGAAAAAAGGAUUCAAAAGACAAUAGUUCAAAACCAACACAGAAAAAGAAGGAACAGAAUAGAAGAUCAAUAAUUCAAGCAAUAUCAAUGAGACUCAGUCUACAAUGAAUGCACUACAUGCAUUUGCAAUUUUGCAUCACACAUCAGAAUCAACCAAUUCAUUUGAAUAUAUCCAAUACACAUGAAUAUCACUAAUAGAAAAAGAAAUAUUCGAUAGAUACAAGUUUAAGAAAAAUAUAAAAGUAAACAGUCCAGGUGCAUAGCAAAACAAAAUAAUUUCAAGAAAUGAAAUAGCAAAAUAAAUUCUGUAACUACAUCAUAUGACAUACUUGCGCGAUUUAUGUUUGCGAUCAGCUUCCUCUGACCGCAUCUUAACAUGGUUCUUAGUUGAUUCAUCCAGGAUACGUUGGACAUUCACCUUACGCCAGGCACAACCAGAUUCAACAAGCAAACCAUUUCCAUCUUCACCACUUUGACGUUCUUCAUAAAUGUCACAGAGGUCACCAAAUUCCCUUGACCAUGUAAAUCUAAAUUCCUUACCACCCACAUUAAUAACGUUUCCAUUGGCAUUACUACCCAAGGAAUCAAACUUAAUCCUGGCAGUGCCACCUUGGGCUUCAACCCUUCUGAUCUCGUCCACCAUGUCGGGCGCCAGUCUUAUAAUCAUUGAAAAGGCAAGUGGGUUAUCACCGGGAAUAAGAGAGAAGGUCUCUUCGACGGCUACUGUUGCAGACGACAUGGCAGCGGUGGGAACUGAGCGAUUGCGAUGAUUGGAAUUGCCUCCGAUGGAGAGGCGAUGGUUCGUGGCUGUAGAAGGCCGGUGGGGUGGAGGCGGAGGGAACGAAGAGAGGCGCUUGGUGCCUACGGCACCGCCUCCCCGGCCGCCACCUCGGCCGCCGAGCUUAGAGGAGCCACCAUACAUUGGUGUAUGUGUUAAUUAAUCAUUGGCCUGCCAGUAAACAAUGUGAUUGUGCUUUUUUAUAUGU